UGGUGAAAGUGAUCACGACGAGCCGACGAAGACUGAAGCAGCGUCCUCUCGAGUGGCAGCAGAAAAACACCUUUUUUGGAGAUGGGUGAAUAAAUUGGUCUGUACUUCAAUACCGAACUUUUGACGGUCAGAGUAAUCGUAUUAAGGGAGGUAUAAAAAAGAACAUAUCGCUCUGUUUGCAAAAUUUGAGAAUUAAAUUCGAUAACUACUUUUUUCACUUUUCUUACACAGGAAAAAGGUACUUCGGAACUAGUACGCAAUUCUUUCGUUUUCAAAAUAUCUUAGGAACUUGAUGAAAUGCAGGAAGAAUUUGUUGAAAUGCAAUGCGCUACAGUAACCGCAAGGAGUUAUUCGAGACAGGAACAUAAUGAUAUGUCAAUACAGAAACUUAUAUGAUAUAAGUUCCAGAAGACUUUAGAUAUAAAUUUAGAGAUAUAUAUCUUCAAACCGACAUUGACCACGAAAAGCUGCUCGAUUGUGUUUUUCUCGUGAAUGAAAAAGAUCUUAGUUGAAAUUUUCAAUUUGUACAAGAUUUGAAAUUUCUUAAAAGAAGGUUCAAAAAGCAACAUGACUAACUGACAUGAAAAAUAAUAUGCUCCUCAUUAAGAGAUCCUUGAGUGAAUUUUAUAAAGAGUAUGAUAAAUUGGGGGCUAUACUUCCCGAAGGAUAAUACUAUAGAAUACCAUCUGGUAUUUGGCUUUAACAGCAAAGAAUAUACUCAUAAGUUUGCGUUCUUGUUCUCAAGUUCAAUAGAUAAGGUACGACAGGUAAAACCUAUGAAAUACGAUUUAAAAAAAAUUGACGAUUUAUAAAAUCACUAGAAGAUCCCUAAGGCACAAAAUACAAUGGUUAGAAUUGUUCAUAUCUAAAGAUAGAAAUACAUACCGACAUAAAAAUUAAAGUGGAAGUCAAAAACUUAAUUACAUUUGGGACAGUUUGAAGUUCCAAUUACUCAGUGAAAAUACUAACCACCCUAAACGAGUGGUACUAACGCACAUCUGCUUUCCUAAAUCUUAACUAGGAUUGAAAAAAUUCAAAAAGUUUGGGUAUCUACUAUAAAAGAAGUAUGUAUUAUUAAUGGUAGGACCCAAAUAUUUGCAUAUAAAGGAUCAAAUUCAAUAACAUCCAAUUCCAUUGCGCUACAUACAACCGAUCAUAAAUUCCAUGUUAGACUUUAAAAAAAUAAAAUGUGAUUCUUAUCAAAACCAUGCGUAAUUAAAUGUAUUUUUGAAAUUCGAAAAUAAACAUUUUACACUUUAUCGUUGAUUACCCAUGUUUUCACGAAGUUGUAAUCUAGAAUAAAUCAACUGGUUUUAAUAUUUUCAUAAGAAAAUCAACGAAAACCGACUCUAAAUAUAGAUCUAAGAUAUGUUAUUAUAUGUAUGUACAUAUUGAAAUGAAUAUCACAAAAUAAAAGCAAUUCAAUAUCAGCUAAGUAUCUAAUUUUGGACUAUUUUCUUUCAUUCAUGGAAAACCAUAAAUUGAACAAGGUCUUAU